UCUGUCAGUAGGGGGAGUGGGAGAACGCGUGUGUGUCGUCGUAUCUGUUCUGCUCAUCUAGCGCGUAUUUCUUUAUUAAUAUCUGCUGGGUGAAUAUUAAUACGUAUAUGCUAACAUUAAUUUUGUGACCACAAAAUGACAGCGAGCUAUUAUACUGUACGAGAUAUUGUGUCGUCGUGUUUGUCUUCACUCACUUCAUCAUUAUCUGCAAACAACUUCUGCAACUACACAAUGAUUGUCUGCCUAUGUGCAAAAUAAAGCACGUUCACUGUGUAAAACCCCGCGCAGGGCAUUUUCAAAUUAACGGUCAGGGCGAGUCUGAGCUCAUCGUGUUGUGUUGACAGAGACUUUGCUGAGGUAAGUAAGAGAAAGAAAUUAAUGUGUUAAAUAAAUAACGUUAUAAACUUGAAUUAUGUUGUGCCAGAAUACGUUGUUUAAUGAAUAUCUGUGGAAUAGGUUUAAAAUAAUACAUUAAUGACUGAACGUGAACUUGACUGAACAUUAUGGCAGCUAGAAGUAUUGAAAAGACGUAUAAUAGAUUUAACAAUGUUUUAUCUUCUUUAUUAGUGUAUGUAAAUCUGGGCUACAGUCCACGACAAAUUUUCUACGGUAGUUUUACGCCUGCAUGCUGGUCCUUUCGUCUAUCGCGGGGAUAUCAUCACUACAGCGGACAUCGCACUGAAGAGAUCCUGUGCUUGCGUGGCGGUGUGUUUGUGUGCUCACUUGGAUUGAGACCAGCAGUGCUUUUUUAAACAGUGGGUGAGUACUAACUUAUUAUUGUGUAGUUUCAUAAAAGCCUUACUCUUUUCAGUCACAUAACUUUUGUUCAUCUGCUAAUAAUAGGACUAUCCAUACACAAAGAUGUAUUGUGGAUUUAAGUAAUAUCUGCGAAUAUUUAUGUGAAAAUGUAUUAGUGUUCUGCUGACAUGAGAUCUGAAAUUGUGUUCUAGGACCUGAUAUGGAUUAAUCCAAUGAUCAACGUUUUCCUUUGUAUCCCUGUUUUGUAGAUAUGCUGCCAUUACAUGAUGGUCAUAUGUCCCGGAUGAUCGGGAGAAGUCACGUGGUUCAAUUAUUAUUAUUUUUUUACGUGGUUCAAUUAUCUGUUAAUAAAAUUUUUUUACCAUGCAUUUAGCAUCAGGCAAAGCCUGCAAUCAAUCUAUUAAGACAGAAACAAUAUCUUACUUAUUAUUAUGUUGUAAUGACAAUAUCAUGUGAUCAUCUGAGUUAGAACAAAAUCUAUUCAUUUUCAGGUAUAACUGUGCAAGUGCCCUGAAUCAUUCUGUUGAAAUGUUAUGUGUUUAAGAUUCUUUAUGACAUCAAGAUGUGGUUUGGGAAGGACCUUCAUCUAAAUCUGAAGACAGGACAUACUGGCUCAAAAAGGUGUUUCUGAUAUGGAGAAAAACCCUGCACUGCUCAUUUUAUUUCUUCAUCUUGAGAAUACAGCAAGUUUACCUUUUGUCUGGAAAAUGAUUCAGCAAAGCUAACACCAACAACAAUUUUUUAUGGCACUUUAAACCACCUUGAUGUGAGGAGCCAGCAUCAGAAUGGAUGGUGUCAAUAUCCUGAAAGUGGAGGUAACAGAGGUGGAUCUCGAGACUUGGCCAUGUUCUAGAUUAUAACUGGAUUAUCACAAGUGCUGUCGCCCCUGCUGUAUAUGACGCCCCCACCACCUACACCAGGUGUAGGAAAUGUCGGUCCUGGAGUGCCGUUGUCCUGCAGAGUUUUGCUCCAGCUCUAAACAAACACACCUGAACAACUAGAUCUGAAGAGUCACCAGAAAACUACAGGUAGGCGAGGUUUUAUCAGGGUUGGAAAUGAAAUCUGCAGGAUUUCGGCACUCCAGGACCGACGUUGCCUACUACUGACCUACACCUUCAUCCUGCCACCACCACCCAUACUACCUACAAAAAACUGUAUUGUAAUUAUGCUUUUCACUGUAUUGUAUGAUGUGGUUUUCUCAUUUAGGGUAACUACACUAUGGCAACAAUUGGAUACAUUGAUUGCUGACUGAUUUUGUUAUUUUUUCUUUACUUUUUGUUUAAAAUCUAAUCAUUUUUUUGUUAUUUUUGUUAAUAUUGUUACAAAUAUACAGUUAAAACUGCACAAUAAAUUUUCUGCUUUUAAA